rnacentral:rRNA from 1 species
UACGAAGGGGGCUAGCGUUGCUCGGAAUCACUGGGCGUAAAGCGCACGUAGGCGGCUUCUUAAGUCAGGGCUGAAAUCCUGGGGCUCAACCCCAGAACUGCCCUUGAUACUGAGGAGCUUGAGUCCGGGAGAGGUGAGUGGAACUCCGAGUGUAGAGGUGAAAUUCGUAGAUAUUCGGAAGAACACCAGUGGCGAAGGCGGCUCACUGGCCCGGUACUGACGCUGAGGUGCGAAUGCGUGGGGACCAAACAGG